rnacentral:rRNA from 1 species
CAGCAGCCACGGGAAUACGGAGGGUGCAAGCGUUAAUCGGAAUUACUGGGCGUAAAGCGCACGCAGGCGGUCUGACAAGUCAGAUGUGAAAUCCCCGGGCUUAACCUGGGAACUGCAUUUGAAACUGUCAGGCUGGAGUCUUGUAGAGGGGGGUGGAAUUCCAGGUGUAGCGGUGAAAUGCGUAGAGAUCUGGAGGAAUACCGGUGGCGAAGGCGGCCCCCUGGACAAAGACUGACGCUCAGGUGCGAAAGCGUGGGGAGCAAACAGGAUUAGAGACCCGAGUAGUCCCUGUCUCUUAUAC